rnacentral:rRNA from 1 species
GAUGAACGCUGGCGGCGUGCCUAAUACAUGCAAGUCGAGCGAACGGACGAGAAGCUUGCUUCUCUGAUGUUAGCGGCGGACGGGUGAGUAACACGUGGAUAACCUACCUAUAAGACUGGGAUAACUUCGGGAAACCGGAGCUAAUACCGGAUAAUAUUUUGAACCGCAUGGUUCAAAAGUGAAAGACGGUCUUGCUUUCACUUAUAGAUGGAUCCGCGCUGCAUUAGCUAGUUGGUAAGGUAACGGCUUACCAAGGCAACGAUGCAUAGCCGACCUGAGAGGGUGAUCGGCCACACUGGAACUGAGACACGGUCCAGACUCCUACGGGAGGCAGCAGUAGGGAAUCUUCCGCAAUGGGCGAAAGCCUGACGGAGCAACGCCGCGUGAGUGAUGAAGGUCUUCGGAUCGUAAAACUCUGUUAUUAGGGAAGAACAUAUGUGUAAGUAACUGUGCACAUCUUGACGGUACCUAAUCAGAAAGCCACGGCUAACUACGUGC